rnacentral:rRNA from 1 species
UAGUCCACGCUGUAAACGAUGGUUACUAGCUGUUCGGAUUUCGAUCUGAGUGGUUAAGCGAAAGUGAUAAGUAACCCACCUGGGGAGUACGUUCGCAAGAAUGAAACUCAAAGGAAUUGACGGGGGCCCGCACAAGCGGUGGAGCAUGUGGUUUAAUUUGAUGAUACGCGAGGAACCUUACCAGGGCUUAAAUGUAGAUUGACAGGUUUAGAGAUAUACUUUUCUUCGGACAAUUUACAAGGUGCUGCAUGGUUGUCGUCAGCUCGUGCCGUGAGGUGUCAGGUUAAGUCCUAUAACGAGCGCAACCCCUGUUGUUAGUUGCCAGUGAGUAAUGUCGGGAACUCUAGCAAGACUGCCGGUGCAAACCGUGAGGAAGGUGGGGAUGACGUCAAAUCAUCACGGCCCUUACGUCCUGGGGCUACACACGUGCUACAAUGGUAGGUACAGAGAGCCGCCACUGGGCGACCAGGCGCGAAUCUAUAAAUCCUAUCACAGUUCGGAUCGGAGUCU